CUAAGGAAGGAGGCGGAGCUUCCAGAGGAGACUUCAGAUUUGUCACUUGUCUUGUUACUUUGUUUUGCUCUGCUUAGGGCUCACAAUGUUGCUGUACAUAGUCAUUUGGAUCUUAACCGUUGCAGAUGUCACUCUUGCAGAUGCCAUUACCUCAGAACACACAGAAGUGCAUGCAAAUGAGAACGAGAACAUGACACUAUCCUGUAGGUAUUCCUCGGCAUAUAGUCUUCUUUGGUAUCGACAGCAUCACAGUUCAGCUCCUCAUUUCCUCAUGCUCAUCCUACAAAGCUCUGGAAAAGUAAUACAGAGUUCAGACGAGCGCCUGUCAGGAAAACUGAACGUGGAGAAAAAUCGUAUAGAUUUGGAAAUCCCUUCUUCCACAGUACAGGACUCAGCACUGUAUUUCUGCGCUCUGCAGACCACAGUGACAGGAAAUCAAACAUUACUGUACAAAAACCUAACAGCAUGAGAGUUUAUCAUGCCCAUUAUUCACGCUUACUUAGGGGGAGGAGCUUAAGCUGCUUUAAAGAGCUCAAGUGCCAUCACAGA